ACGACCACCAGUUGUCCCUGUGCCCCAAUCAACCCCAAAAGAGAAGAUUUUGUUUGCUGACGACUGGUUAUGGGGAUGUCGUUUACUAGGGAACCCGUGGACGCUGACCGGGGCCUGGAAAGAGACUCUGAGGACGGUGAAGUGGACAUAAAGAUUUUGGAUGGACGGCAGGCCCUGGGCAGUGAUCCCGGCGCAAUUCACUACUGAGCAUUCAGUGGACUGGACUUUGCAUCG